CCUACGGGUGGCAGCAGUGGGGAAUAUUGGGCAAUGGGCGCAAGCCUGACCCAGCAACGCCGCGUGAAGGAAGAAGGCUUUCGGAUUGUAAACUUCUUUUCUGAGGGACGAAGAAAGUGACGGUACCUCAGGAAUAAGCCACGGCUAACUACGUGCCAGCAGCCGCGGUAAUACGUAGGUGGAAAGCGUUAACCGGAUUGAUUGGGUGUAAAGGGCGUGUAGGCGGGAAAGCAAGUCAGAUGUGAAAACUCAGGGCUCAACCCUGAGCCUGCAUUUGAAACUGGUAUUCUUGAGUGCUGGAGAGGAAAUCGGAAUUCCGGGUGUAGGGGUGAAAUGCGUAGAUAUACGGAGGAACACCAGUGGCGAAGGCGAAUUGCUGGACAGUAACUGACGCUGAGGCGCGAAAGCGUGGGGAGCAAACAGGAUUAGAUACCCGGGUAGUC
rnacentral:rRNA from 1 species